GCACCCGUAGCUCAGUUGGAUAGAGCGCUUGGCUACGAACUAAGAGGUCGGGAGUUCGAAUCUCUCCGGGUGUGCCA
rnacentral:tRNA from 1 species